rnacentral:rRNA from 1 species
GGUUAAGCGACUAAGCGUACACGGUGGAUGCCCUGGCAGUCAGAGGCGAUGAAGGACGUGCUAAUCUGCGAUAAGCGUCGGUGAGGUGAUAUGAACCGUUAUAACCGGCGAUUUCCGAAUGGGGAAACCCAGUGUGUUUCGACACACUAUCAUUAACUGAAUCCAUAGGUUAAU